AUUGAACGCUGGCGGCAGGCCUAACACAUGCAAGUCGAGCGGAUGAAGGGAGCUUGCUCCUGGAUUCAGCGGCGGACGGGUGAGUAAUGCCUAGGAAUCUGCCUGGUAGUGGGGGAUAACGUCCGGAAACGGGCGCUAAUACCGCAUACGUCCUGAGGGAGAAAGUGGGGGAUCUUCGGACCUCACGCUAUCAGAUGAGCCUAGGUCGGAUUAGCUAGUUGGUGGGGUAAAGGCCUACCAAGGCGACGAUCCGUAACUGGUCUGAGAGGAUGAUCAGUCACACUGGAGCUGAGACACGGUCCAGACUCCUACGGGAGGCAGCAGUGGGGAAUAUUGGACAAUGGGCGAAAGCAUGAUCCAGCCAUGCCGCGUGUGUGAAGAAGGUCUUCGGAUUGUAAAGCACUUUAAGUUGGGAGGAAGGGCAGUAAGUUAAUACCUUGCUGUUUUGACGUUACCAACAGAAUAAGCACCGGCUAACUUCGUG
rnacentral:rRNA from 1 species